CGCAUCUGUGCAUGCAGCAUAUCAAUAAGCGGAGGAAAAGAAACUAACAAGGAUUCCCCUAGUAACGGCGAGUGAAGCGGGAAGAGCUCAAAUUUGAAAUCUUAAAGGGUUUCCCUUUACGAAUUGUAGUUUAAAGAAGUGUUUUCUGUUGAGGUUUUGGUAAAAGUUCUUUGGAAUAGGACAUCAUAGAGGGUGAGAAUCCCGUAUUUGACCUUUACUUUCAACUUUGUGAUACACUUUCAAAGAGUCGGAUUGUUUGGGAAUGCAGUCCAAAAUGGGUGGUAAAUUUCAUCUAAAGCUAAAUAUUGGCGAGAGACCGAUAGCGAACAAGUACCGUGAGGGAAAGAUGAAAAGAACUUUGAAAAGAGAGUUAAACAGUACGUGAAAUUGUCAAAAGGGAAGCGUUUGACACCAGUGUUGUUUUUCUGAAAAUCAAUUAAAGAACUGUUCAUGCUAAGUUGUUUAGACUUUAUCAGCUAACUGUUUAGUUUUGAGCUUUUCUUUAAUGCACUUUUCAGUUAACAAGUCAACAUCAAUUUCUUUUGCUGUAAAAAAGCUUGAGGAAGGUGGCUUGAGAUUCGUCUUAAGUGUUUACAGCCUCUUGCCUAUGCAGUCGGAGAGAUUGAGGUCUGCAGCGUAGAUCCUUCGGGGCUAAAUGCAUUUGUGCUAAGUUAUAACAUUUUAUAGACAACUUGUUGACUAUGAUUUGUCUUGUAGCUUACUCGCUUAUGUUAUUUUACCUACGCUUAGGAUGUUGAGCGCAUGUCUCUCUCU
rnacentral:rRNA from 1 species